rnacentral:rRNA from 1 species
AGCGGCAGACGGGAGAGUAACACGUGGGAACGGGCCCUUCAGUUCGGAACAACCCAGGGAAACUUGGGCUAAUACCGGAUACGUCCGUAAGGAGAAAGAUUUAUCGCUGAAGGAUCGGCCCGCGUCUGAUUAGCUAGUUGGUGAGGUAACGGCUCACCAAGGCGACGAUCAGUAGCUGGUCUGAGAGGAUGAUCAGCCUCACUGGGACUGAGACACGGCCCAAACUCCUACGGGAGGCAGCAGUGGGGAAUAUUGGACAAUGGGCGCAAGCCUGAUCCAGCCAUGCCGCGUGGGUAAUGAAGGCCCUAGGGUUGUAAAGCCCUUUCGGCGGGGAAGAUAAUGACGGUACCCGCAAAAAAAGCCCCGGCUAAUUUCGUGCCAGCAGCCGCGGUAAUACGAAGGGGGCUAGCGUUGCUCGGAAUCCCCUGGGCGAAAGGCGCACGUAGGCGGCUUUUUUAAGUCCGGGGGGGAAAUCCUGGGACCUCAACUCCCAAAAUUGCCCUUGA